AGAGUUUGAUUCUGGCUCAGAACGAACGCUGGCUGCGUGGAUAAGACAUGCAAGUCGAACGCUGAUUUAUCCGGUAGCAAUACUGGGUGAGUCGGAGUGGCGAAAGGGUGCGUAACACGUGAGAAUCUGCCGGGAAGUGGGUAAUAGCUCGCCGAAAGGCGAAUUAAUACCGCAUGUGGUCGCAAGACCAAAGAGGGGGACCGCAAGGCCUCUCGCUUCCUGACGAGCUCGCGGCCUAUCAGCUAGUUGGCGGGGUAAAAGCCCACCAAGGCGAUGACGGGUAGCUGGUCUGAGAGGACGACCAGCCACACUGGAACUGAGACACGGUCCAGACACCUACGGGUGGCAGCAGUCGAGAAUUUUUCACAAUGGGGGCAACCCUGAUGGAGCGACGCCGCGUGGAGGAAGAAGGUUUUCGGAUUGUAAACUCCUGUCACUUCAGAACAAGAGCACGUCAUUUAAUACCUGAUGUGUUUGAUGGUAUGAGGAGAGCAAGGGACGGCUAACUCUGUGCCAGCAGCCGCGGUAAUACAGAGGUCCCGAGCGUUGUUCGGAUUCAUUGGGCGUAAAGGGUGUGUAGGAGGCUAGGUAAGUCAGGUGUGAAAUCUCGUCGCUUAACGACGAAAUGGCAUUUGAUACUGCUUGGCUAGAGGAUCGGAGGGGGCAACGGAAUUCUUGGUGUAGCAGUGAAAUGCGUAGAUAUCAAGAGGAACACCGGUGGCGUAGGCGGUUGCCUGGAAGAUUCCUGACUCUGAAACACGAAAGCUAGGGGAGCAAACGGGAUUAGAUACCCCGGUAGUCCUAGCCGUAAACGGUGUGCAUUAGGUGUGUGCGGAUUCGACCCCGUACGUGCCGUCGAUAACUCAUUAAAUGCACCGCCUGGGAAGUACGGUCGCAAGAUUAAAACUCAAAGAAAUUGACGGGGGCCCGCACAAGCGGUGGAGUAUGUGGCUUAAUUCGAUGCAACGCGAAGAACCUUACCUAGCCUUGACAUGUUUGUGGUAGCUCGGAUGAAAGUUUGAGCGACCCCGCAAGGGGAGCAAGCACAGGUGCUGCAUGGCUGUCGUCAGCUCGUGUCGUGGGAUGUUGGGUUAAGUCCCGCAACGAGCGCAACCCCUAUGAUUAGUUGCUUUAAUCGGCUCUCUAGUCAGACUGCCCUGUGAAACGGGGAGGAAGGUGGGGAUGACGUCAAGUCAGGAUGGCCCUUACGGCUAGGGCUGCACGCGUACUACAAUGCUCAGUACAGAGGGUUGCAAGACCGCGAGGUGGAGCUAAUCCCAGAAAACUGAGCCCAGUUCGGAUUGGAGGCUGCAACUCGCCUCCAUGAAGCCGGAAUCGCUAGUAAUGGCGCAUCAGCUACGGCGCCGUGAAUACGUUCCCGGGCCUUGUACACACCGCCCGUCACAUCAUGAAAGCCUGUUGUACCCGAAGUGCGUGCGCCAACCUGCAAAGGAGGCAGCGCCCUAAGGUAUGGCCGGUGAUUGGGAUGAAGUCGUAACAAGGUA
rnacentral:rRNA from 1 species